rnacentral:tRNA from 1 species
GCCCUUGUGGUCCAACUGGACAGGACGCCGGCCUUCGAAGCCGGACGAUGCGGGUUCGAAUCCUGCCGGGGGCACCA